rnacentral:rRNA from 1 species
CCCUUAGAUGUCCUGGGCCGCACGCGCGUUACACUGAUGCAUUCAACGAGCUUAUAACCUUGGCCGAGAGGCCUGGGCAAUCUUGUUAACGUGCAUCGUGAUAGCGAUAGAUUAUUGAAAUUAUUAAUCUUGAACGAGGAAUUCCUAGUAAACGCAGAUCAUCAAUCUGCAUUGAUUACGUCCCUGCCCUUUGUACACACCGCCCGUCGCACCUACCGAUUGGAUGGUCCGGUGAAGCCUCGGGAUUGUGGUUCUUGCCGCUUUAUUGUGGCGUGACCGCGAGAACUUGUCUAAACCUUAUCAUCUAGAGGAAGGUGAAGUCGUAACA